UACGAAGGGGGCUAGCGUUGUUCGGAAUUACUGGGCGUAAAGCGCACGUAGGCGGGUCGUUAAGUCAGGGGUGAAAGCCCGGAGCUCAACUCCGGAAUUGCCCUUGAUACUGGCGACCUUGAGUCCGAGAGAGGUAAGUGGAACUCCGAGUGUAGAGGUGAAAUUCGUAGAUAUUCGGAAGAACACCAGUGGCGAAGGCGGCUUACUGGCCCGGUACUGACGCUGAGGUGCGAAAGCGUGGGGAGCAAACAGG
rnacentral:misc_RNA from 1 species